GACGAACGCUGGCGGCGUGCCUAAUACAUGCAAGUUGAGCGCUGAAGGUUGGUACUUGUACCAACUGGAUGAGCAGCGAACGGGUGAGUAACGCGUGGGGAAUCUGCCUUUGAGCGGGGGACAACAUUUUGAAACGAAUGCUAAUACCGCAUAAAAACUUUAAACACAAGUUUUAAGUUUGAAAGAUGCAAUUGCAUCACUCAAAGAUGAUCCCGCGUUGUAUUAGCUAGUUGGUGAGGUAAAGGCUCACCAAGGCGAUGAUACAUAGCCGACCUGGGAGGGUGAUCGGCCACAUUGGGACUGAGACACGGCCCAAACUCCUACGGGAGGCAGCAGUAGGGAAUCUUCGGCAAUAGACGAAAGUCUGACCGAGCAACGCCGCGUGAGUGAAGAAGGUUUUCGGAUCGUAAAACUCUGUUGGUAGAGAAGAACGUUGGUGAGAGUGGAAAGCUCAUCAAGUGACGGUAACUACCCAGAAAGGGACGGCUAACUACGUG
rnacentral:rRNA from 1 species